UGCCGUAGAGUCACAGACGCUCUAACCCGUGACCCCAGGAAUGAAAACCGACUCUUCCACUUCCUGGAAGCUGUUUCGCUCUGUUUUUAUAUAGCCGACUAGUAUGAGGUACUAAGGCGGAAAAAUAAGGGUUGGCCGUGGAAAGAAUUUGAAAAGCCCCGACAACAUGAGCUGGAUCCCAUUCAAGAUUGGACAACCGAAGAAACAGAUUGUUUCAAAAACGAUGGUGCUUCAGGGUACGAGGGGAAGCCCCGUCAUCAGUGAACAUUCCUGACAUGCCAGUCGAUUGGGUAAUGCCCCCAAAAUGCACAUGUGCACAGUACACGGUCACACUAUCAGGCAAUCAUAUGCUACCUUCGCCAGCUAGGGUGCCGUCCGAAUGGACGG